UCUCAAAGCAAUUUUAAAAGAAAUGGCUUUGUUUGACGUGCAACGGCGGCACGUGAGAAUUUUCAACUUACAAGUUUGAUUAAAUAAAUUGUAUUAGCUUCAUAAUGUUACCUGUACGAGUAUUGAUUUGCGUUAGAGAAAUUAAUAUGUAUAACUGUCUUCAUAAUAUGUUAAUGACGUCAUUUAAAGGUUAAUUAGUAUUCCAAAACAUCGAUUAAUACACUCGCAAGUCUACUACAGUAUUAAAAAUAUACAAGAAAAACAUCACUUUGGGUUGGCUAUAUAGGAUAUUCAAAUGAAGAUUAUAUGUUUUUGGUGCAAAGUACAUGCUUUUUAAUCCUGUAUAAACCAAUGUAUGUACAAUAUAUUUGCAUUAACACCUAUUGUAUGUUACCAAAUAAAGGAAUCCCCAAGGGCUGAGUUUAAACACUAAAAGUUCAUCAAAA